rnacentral:rRNA from 1 species
GAUGAACGCUGGCGGCGUGCCUAAUACAUGCAAGUCGAACGAACAGACGAGGAGCUUGCUCCUCUCACGUUAGCGGCGCGCGGGAGUGACACACGUGGAUCACCUCCCUAUAAUACUGAUAACACUUCGGAACACCGGCUCUAAUCCCGGAUAAUCUCUUGAUCCGCGUUGGUGGAUGGUAAGUGACGGCUUUUCUGGCUCUUCUAGCUGGAUACGCGCCGCAUUAGCUAGUUGGUACGUUAAAGGCUUAUCAAGGCUACGAUGCGUAGCCGACCUGACAGGGGGGUCGGCCACACUGGAAGUGAGACACGGUCCAGACUCCUACGGGAGGCAGCAGUAGGGAAUCUUCCGCAAUGGGCGAAAGCCUGACGGAGCAACGCCGAGUGAGUGAUGAAGGUCUUCGGAGCGGAAAGCUCUGUUACUAGGGAAGAACAAAUGUGUAAGUAGCUAUGCACGUCUUGACGGUACCGAAUCAGAAAGCCACGGCUAACUACGUG